UACGUAGGGUACAAGCGUUAAUCGGAAUUACUGGGCGUAAAGCGUGCGCAGGCGGCUUUGCAAGACAGAUGUGAAAUCCCCGGGCUUAACCUGGGAACUGCAUUUGUGACUGCAUGGCUGGAGUGCGGCAGAGGGGGAUGGAAUUCCGCGUGUAGCAGUGAAAUGCGUAGAUAUGCGGAGGAACACCGAUGGCGAAGGCAAUCCCCUGGGCCUGCACUGACGCUCAUGCACGAAAGCGUGGGGAGCAAACAGG
rnacentral:rRNA from 1 species